rnacentral:rRNA from 1 species
ACGGGAGGCAGCAGUGGGGGAUAUUGCACAAUGGGGGAAACCCUGACGCAGCGACGCCGCGUGAGCGAAGAAGUAUUUCGGUAUGUAAAGCUCUAUCAGCAGGGAAGAAAAUGACGGUACCUGACUAAGAAGCUCCGGCUAAAUACGUGCCAGCAGCCGCGGUAAUACGUAUGGAGCAAGCGUUAUCCGGAUUUACUGGGUGUAAAGGGAGCGUAGACGGCGUGGCAAGUCUGAUGUGAAAGCUAUGGGCUCAACCCAUAAACUGCAUUGGAAACUGUCAUGCUAGAGUGUCGGAGAGGUAAGCGGAAUUCCUAGUGUAGCGGUGAAAUGCGUAGAUAUUAGGAGGAACACCAGUGGCGAAGGCGGCUUACUGGACGAUAACUGACGUUGAGGCUCGAAAGCGUGGGGAGCAAACAGGAUUAGAUACCCUGGUA